CUAAUACAUGGUAUAUCCAAAGUCCGAUGAUGCGAAAAUAAAGAGAUAGGAUAUGAGGGAGAAGACCAAUGGCUGCGAACGCCGUGCAGCUACCUCGAUACUCCCAGAGGCUGGAUCUGCUGAUCAACUGGAUCUACUGAGCCUAAGACUGCCCUGGAUCUGCACACAAGGUGCAGGGAGUAAAGUCAGUACUCCGACCCAGUGAGUAAUAAAAGUAACUACAGUCCGAAGAUAAGAAAAUCCAGUAAAUACACAAAGUAAGCUACAAUCCUAAUAUAGCAACAUAUGGAACUGAGCAGCUAAACACCAGUAUAAAUACAAAUACAUGAAUGCAAUGCAAUGCAUAUGAUGGUACAUUCCAGUACCCACUGCGGCGUGCAGCCCGAGCCAUCCAUAUUUAUUUAUCAUCGGCGGCGCUCACUGGGGGUGUGUACAGACUCCGGAGGGGCUCCUACAGCCCAAGCGCAAUAUCUUGGUCAGUCAUUGUUACCUGACCGGUCAGCCAUUGUUACCUGACCAAUUUAUAUCAUACAGUGCCAUUGUUACCACUGUUCAAGUAUAUCAUCCAGUGUCAUUGUUACCACUAUUUCAAGUAUAUCACACAGUGUCAUUGUUACCACUGUUUCAAGUCACUUUAUAAUUAUUCGAGAAAAUAAUAUAAUAAGCCCCUUGGGCAUUUAUAAAACAGAAGUUCCCAGCCCGGAAUACAUUUAAAAAUAUCAUUUAAGUUUUCAACACUUAGAAUUAUGGCUGAGUUUGCAAAAGAGCAUUUAAAACCUUGGACUGAAAUUAAAUGAUAUGCAAAUCAUGCUAAGCAGUAAUAUCUCCUCGAAGGAUUUUACAAAUCGGCACAAGGCUCCAAACAUGGCAUCAAGCCCAGUAAUAUCAAUGAAGUAUGUGUAUCAAUCACUAGUAUAGUAUAAACAUCACACGGGAUGGACCAAGUCACAAUUCCCCAUAGUAUCCGACCCCGCACUCGCCAUGGAGUGCGUGUCACGCCUCAAUAUAGCGCUACGAUGUGAAAGUCCGGGGUUUCAAACUCUCAGAACAACAUUUACAUCUAUUACUCACCUCAAGAUGGCCAAAAGUCUACUCCGCGAUGCUCUUUCCUUUCGAAUCGACCUCCUCGCGCGUUGAAUC
rnacentral:lncRNA from 1 species